rnacentral:rRNA from 1 species
GAUGAACGCUGGCGGCGUGCCUAAUACAUGCAAGUCGAGCGAACAGAUGAGGAGCUUGCUCCUCUGACGUUAGCGGCGGACGGGUGAGUAACACGUGGAUAACCUACCUAUAAGACUGGGAUAACUUCGGGAAACCGGAGCUAAUACCGGAUAAUAUAUUGAACCGCAUGGUUCAAUAGUGAAAGACGGUUUUGCUGUCACUUAUAGAUGGAUCCGCGCCACAUUAGCUAGUUGGUAAGGUAACGGCUUACCAAGGCAACGAUGCGUAGCCGACCUGAGAGGGUGAUCGGCCACACUGGAACUGAGACACGGUCCAGACUCCUACGGGAGGCAGCAGUAGGGAAUCGUCCGCAAUGGGCGAAAGCCUGACGGAGCAACGCCGCGUGAGUGAUGAAGGUCUUCGGAUCGUAAAACUCUGUUAUUAGGGAAGAACAAAUGUGUAAGUAACUAUGCACGGCUUGACGGUACCUAAUCAGAAAGCCACGGCUAACUACGUG